AGUUGCGCCCGAGGCUUCGGCCGAGGGCACGUCUGCCUGGGCGUCGCAC
rnacentral:rRNA from 1 species